GACGAACGCUGGCGGCGUGCCUAAUACAUGCAAGUCGAACGCACUCUCGUUUAGAUUGAAGGAGCUUGCUCCUGAUUGAUAAACAUUUGAGUGAGUGGCGGACGGGUGAGUAACACGUGGGUAACCUGCCCUAAAGUGGGGGAUAACAUUUGGAAACAGAUGCUAAUACCGCAUAAAACCUAAACACCGCAUGGUGUAGGGUUGAAAGAUGGUUUCGGCUAUCACUUUAGGAUGGACCCGCGGUGCAUUAGUUAGUUGGUGAGGUAAAGGCUCACCAAGACCGUGAUGCAUAGCCGACCUGAGAGGGUAAUCGGCCACACUGGGACUGAGACACGGCCCAGACUCCUACGGGAGGCAGCAGUAGGGAAUCUUCCACAAUGGACGAAAGUCUGAUGGAGCAACGCCGCGUGAGUGAAGAAGGUUUUCGGAUCGUAAAACUCUGUUGUUGGAGAAGAAUGUAUCUGAUAGUAACUGAUCAGGUAGUGAC
rnacentral:rRNA from 1 species